rnacentral:tRNA from 1 species
GAUCCCAUAGUAUAAUGGUUAGUAUUCUUGGCUUUGAACCAAGCGGUCUCUGUUCGAAUCAGAGUGGGAUCAC